GCCCGAGUGGCGGAAUGGCAGACGCGACGGACUCAAAAUCCGUUGUUCGUAAGGACGUGUGGGUUCAAGUCCCACCUCGGGCA
rnacentral:tRNA from 1 species